rnacentral:lncRNA from 1 species
CCUGGAAUGACUGAUGCUGUUAUGCCCCAUCGCCUAGGCCUGAAAGAGCUCUCAGAAUCUGCACAGUUUUCAAUCUCUCUAGAGAGACGAUGUCCACCGAUAUGCUGUGAGGCAGUCCCUGUUCAAAGAUGCUUGCAGGAAACUGCAAAGAAAGGAAAGAGAAGACGGCUGAACAAAACCAGUAAAAACCAGUUGAAGGCAACAUGAAAGUCUGACUGGACCUGACAUAGACCCUACAACACAUCAUAUGUUCAUUGUAAUACAUUGCAUAUUAUGGAACCUACCCACCGAUGCCAUGACAGUUUACAACUGCCAUGGCAAUGGCGGGAUACAACCAUAUAAGGAAAGAAAAGAGGUGGCAUCCUUGUUCCCCUGAAAAGCCUGCCUAGUUCCCCUAAUACCUGUGAAUAUUCCUCCCCUUCAUUACUUUGACCUCUUAUAACAGCUCAAUCGCCUCAAGAGCUGAGAAGUUGAUUGGUGAACUUUGCUCCCAC